GGACUACUGGGGUUUCUAAUCCUGUUUGCUCCCCACGCUUUCGUAGUUGAGUGUCAGUGCCCAUCCAGCUUGCCGCCUUCGCCUCUGGUGUUCCUCCCGAUCUCUACGCAUUUCACCGCUACACCGGGAAUUCCACAAGCCUCUCUGGGACUCCAGUCUCACCGUUUCCGGGGCACUUCUUGAGUUAAGCUCAAGGCUUUCACCCCGGACAAAUGAGACCACCUACCUACCCUUUACGCCCAAUAAUUCCGAGCAACGCUUGCACCCUCCGUAUUACCGCGGCGGCUGGCAC
rnacentral:rRNA from 1 species